AAGGGAGGAGGGGAAGGGAGAAGGGAGGGGGCACGAGGGAGGGGUGUGAUCAGAGUAGAUUUUCCCUCGCCUCCCUCGGUCCGAGGCCCAAAUAUACACAACUGAGCCUCCUUUCUCCCCUCCCCCCUAGGUUCCCAGCACCACCAUUUUGCUCUCUGCCUUCCCCUCACCGCGACACCGCGCUCUCCCCCACCCCAACCACAGCCUCCCGGCUUUCCUCCCCCGACUACGGCUCGCACCCCACCCCACCUCCAGUUCGGGCUCUCCUAGGCUUAGGAGCCUGCCGGAGAAAAGGAACCUAAAUCUACUGCUACACAGAGAAGCGGAGCCUCCAUCUUGCGCUGCUCCGCGUUCUCCAUUUUGGGCCACCCAUGGGGGGGGGGGGUCUCCGUAGAGGCCCCGAGGGAGAGUUGGGCGAGGGAAGGAAGAGAAAAUCUUCAGCGAGGGUAGUCGAAAAGAAGAGCCCUGCGGUAGAAAGCCACUCUAGGAGUAGGAGUGUAUUGGACCUUUGACCGCCAAGAGCUCUUUACUCGGGGGAGAAAAACUCGAGGAGGGCCUAUCCCCUCCAAAGCGCCGCUUUUUCCUUGGACAGGAAGAAGUGACCUAUUGCAGUGUCUCCAUUGCUGUUAUAGAAGUUCGUAGAUUCAUAAAAUAGUGUUUGCUUAAGAAGUCUUCGUUUCUGUUCCAUUUUUGAAAUUUUGGUUAAAAUAUUUCUUAAAUAUUAAAUUACAUUUCAAUUAGAAGAAAAGAAAUAAAACGUAUUAAUAACAAAACAAAUUUUCCAACUGAGAAAUAGGGUGAGCCCCGUGUAAAUCAUGAAGCUUUCACCCCGAUAUCACUUCUGAAACAUUCCUAAUGUAAUAUAACGAUUAUUUUCAGUCCUUAAAUUAUAUUCCUUCCAUAUCUCUUGUUAGUUUCUCUCCCAUCCUCUGUGCUUAUUGUUUUUUCUGCAACUUUACAAAAAGAGUUAUAGUAUAUUUAAUCAACUGGACAAUAAAAGUUAAACAGAAACAUCUGAAUAUCAAUAACAAGAAGUAAAAUCUGAGACAUUUUUACUUACCUCUAAAGCUCUGGAGAGUGGAAUACUAUUCAAAAUAAAUUUCCAUUUCUUU
rnacentral:lncRNA from 10 species